rnacentral:rRNA from 1 species
GUGGGGAAUAUUGCGCAAUGGGCGGAAGCCUGACGCAGCGACGCCGCGUGGGGGAUGACGGCCUUCGGGUUGUAAACCUCUUUCGACCGGGACGAAGAGUGAUUGACGGUACCGGUAGAAGAAGCACCGGCCAACUACGUGCCAGCAGCCGCGGUAACACGUAGGGUGCGAGCGUUGUCCGGAAUUAUUGGGCGUAAAGAGCUCGUAGGCGGUGUGUCGCGUCGGCCGUGAAAACCUGGGGCUCAACCCUGGGCUUGCGGUCGAUACGGGCAUCACUGGAGUUCGGCAGGGGAGACUGGAAUUCCUGGUGUAGCGGUGAAAUGCGCAGAUAUCAGGAGGAACACCGGUGGCGAAGGCGGGUCUCUGGGCCGAUACUGACGCUGAGGAGCGAAAGCGUGGGGAGCGAACAGG